UACGGAGGGGGCAAGCGUUAUUCGGAAUCAUUGGGCGUAAAGGGCGUGUAGGCGGCUUCGUGUGUCUUAUGUGAAAGCCCUCGGCUCAACCGGGGAACUGCAUGGGAAACUGCGAAGCUUGAGUCCGGGAGAGGAGAGUGGAAUUCCCAGUGUAGCGGUGAAAUGCGUAGAUAUUGGGAGGAACACCAGUGGCGAAGGCGGCUCUCUGGACCGGUACUGACGCUGAGACGCGAAAGCCAGGGGAGCAAACGGG
rnacentral:rRNA from 1 species